AAGUCGUAACAAGGUUUCCGUAGGUGAACCUGCGGAAGGAUCAUUAACAUUAUUCUCUUUUACUUUUUGGGAUUAUGGUGUUGGGAUGUUUUGCAUUCUUACUCAUAUUCUCAUUCAACCCCAAAUGUGCAUUGUGUUGUGCUUUGUAACAAAAGCACUUCUUUUUUAUCUAUACUAACUAAACCCAUCUUUAUUACUUCUAGACUGACUUUAAACAACUUGAUUCGUACACUUCAUACUGUACGAUGACCAAUCAUAAUACAACUCUUAGCAACGGAUAUCUAGGCUCUC
rnacentral:misc_RNA from 1 species